AGAAGUGUGGGUGAGUGGCUGAAACCACCAGUUUGCUAAACUGACGUACGGGCAACUGCAUUGAGGGUUCGCCCCCCCGCUUCCG
rnacentral:tRNA from 1 species